AUUAGCUCCAGUUGGAGCAAGGAUCUCCACAUAAGAGCUACAAUGAUAAAACUCUUAGAAGAAAACAGGACAACAGCUUCAUGAGGUUGGAGUUGGCAAUGACUUCUUGGAUGCAACACCAGAGGCACAGGUGACAGAGUCCACGUGUGCUGAGGACAGAAUGUCCCGUCUGAAGGACAGACAACCUAUCCGAGGUGCUUUUCCCAAGCAUACAGUUUCUACUCUGCAACACGAGGACAAGCCACUUUAAUUGGAAGAAUCACAAAUUGCUGUGUUGAAUCGAACCCGUAUAAUCCCUCCUGAGGCCUGAAACUGUCCUCUCUUGAGAAUCAUUGGCCUACGACAAAAUAACGAGAAACAUGAAUUUUUAGAAAAUGGGAAGAACCUGAAAAGGAGAAAAGGAGGAACCUGGGAAGGAGACUGGGAAGCAACGGCCAGAGAAGAGGGAAGAAAAUCAGGAGAGUUUGAGAAACUAGAAAGUAUUUAGAGGGGGACGAGUGGGUCUGAGCUGUCAAAUAUGCUGAGAGGCUGGGGACGAAGAUGAGGACCCCACCAGAAGUAGGGUCAGGAAGUGGCCCACC